rnacentral:rRNA from 1 species
AGUCACUGACAUUAGAUACCCGUGUAGUCCAGGGUGUAAACGCUGCAGACUUGGUGUUGGAAGUCCCGUUGGGGGCAUCAGUGCCGGAGAGAAGUUGUUAAGUCUGCUACGUUGGGAGUACGUCCGCAAGGAUAGAAACUUAAAGGAAUUGGCGGGGGAGCACCGCAACGGGAGGAGCGUGCGGUUUAAUUGGAUUCAACACCGUAAACUCACCAGGGAAGACUGUUACAUGAAAGCCGAGAUGAAGACUCUGCUAGAUUUUCAG